UCCUAUACAAAAGACCCAUACAAAUCCCAUCCUACUCUUUCUAUUCCAAAUUCCUCCUAUCAGUAAAGAUACCUAGAUACCCAACGUUAAUAUCAACUUUCAAACGACAACAUAACCCAUCAACGUCAAAUUCCAAGAUGCGUGAACACGAAAAUCAGAAAAUGAAGCGAUGUGGAACGUGAAAUGACAACAAUAGCACAUGGCAAGUCACGACGAAAUACGCAGCAGGUUCACACCUUAGUCGCGUGAAUCAGACUGUACACUGUGAACUCAUUGUCUUCUUCCUCCAUUCCCUCUUAAUAGUACUGUCGCAGUAGAGUAACAAGAGCACACAAAAUCAUCCUAAUAGAGUGAGAUGAUGCCACGUUGCACCCAAGGACAAUAGAAUUGAUCCGGAGCGUCGAUUCGCCUUUCCUCUUCCCGAAUGGGUUGAAAUUUCAGCAAAAGGAUGUCUCCCCUGAAUGGUGAAAAUAAUUUCAAGUUUGAAAUCGAAAUGGGACUCGUUCCUAUCCGUUUUUCAUCCCAUUUCCCCCAUUUCUGAACCCUAAUUAUCCUUCUAUAUAUAGUUGCUUAUUAUUCACUAUGGAGGUUGAAAAAAAUUGAGAAAUCUGACUAAGGCAUAAAGAAUAACACACCAAUAAUAGUUAUAAGAUAUAGGAAAUACAUUCGAAAGAGAGCAAGAUGAGUUAGUUUCUGUUCGAGUCUCACUCUUCUUGCUUGAUCACCAUCGUUCUUCUAAGCUAGUUCGAUUUUGCAUUUGCUGCUUAAACCUCUCAUUCGUUGUUGGUUCGUGUUUGUGUGGAAGUAUUCAUUUCUCUACUUGUCUCGUCCCCGUUCACUGCCUGAAAGUUGCGGCUCCUCCCGAGACCUAGGAGACUCCUUUUCCUUGCAUUCCGUUGAUUAGCAUUAGAGGCCUGAUUCUAUUUUUUAUCGAGUAAAUCGUGUCUUGAAAUGAUGAACAGGGAUGGAGACUGAUACAUAGGCUAAAACAUUUAAUUUUAGGUGUCUGGAAAGCCCAAAGAAGGGGUUGUAUACACUGAUAUAUCCGCUGUAUACAUUGGUGUACAGUCAAAAAUACAAUAUACAGGCCCAAUGUUGAAGUACAAGGUGAAUUAAUGCAGAAAA